rnacentral:rRNA from 1 species
AUAUCAGUCAUGCAUAGCAUAUCAAUAAGCGGAGGAAAAGAAACUAACAAGGAUUCCCUUAGUAACGGCGAGUGAAGCGGGAAGAGCUCAAAUUUGAAAUCUUCAAGGUUCUACCUUGACGAAUUGUAGUUUAUAGAAGUGUUUUCUGUUAGUGGAGUGGCAAAAGUUCUUUGGAAUAGGACAUCACAGAGGGUGAGAAUCCCGUAUUUGGUCAUUCCUCCUAGCGUUGUGAUACACUUUCAACGAGUCGGAUUGUUUGGGAAUGCAGUCCAAAAUGGGUGGUAAAUUUCAUCUAAAGCUAAAUAUUGGCGAGAGACCGAUAUCGAACAAGUACCGUGAGGGAAAGAUGAAAAGAACUUUGAAAAGAGAGUUAAACAGUACGUGAAAUUGUCAAAAGGGAAGCGUUUGACACCAGUGUUGUUUUUCCGAAAAUCAAUUACGAAUGUUUUGUUUUUAAGAAGUUAUGACUUCAUCGGCUUGCUCCUUUCUUUACGAAACUUUCUUAAUGCACUUUUCGGUUAACAAGUCAACAUCAAUUUCUUUUGUUGUAAAAGGGUAUGAGGAAGGUGGCUUUCUUUUCGGAGAAAGUGUUUAUAGCCUCGUGCCUCUGCAAUCGGAGAGAUUGAGGUCUGCAGCGUAGAUCCUUCGGGGUUAGAUACAUUUGUGCUAAGUUAUAGCUUUUCAUAGACAACUUGUUGACUAUGAUUUAGUCUUGUAGCUUACUCGCUUAUGCUAUUUUACCUACGCUUAGGAUGUUGAUCUCUCACAGUCGAGC